AUGUUAUGCUCUGAUUCCUUGUGACCUCACAGACGGUUGGCUUGGCUGGCUCUCAGAGGCUCUUCGCCGGUGCCCAGGAGGGAGUCUGCACAGAGCUGACUUCGGGCAGCUGCCUCGGAUGUUUGGGUGGCCAACCUCCUGCAGCCUGAGGGGAAGCCAGGCACAAGUAGGCCAGCACCGUCCCGUCCCUCUGCAGAAGCGCCAUCGGGGAGGAAGCCACAGAGCCACACCAGCCUCAGGAAUGGGGACAACACAGUGCUGAGGGGAGGGACACGCAGUGCUGCCAUCCCCAUGCUGGAGACGGUGGGUUCCACCCGGGGGAUGGAGCCAGCGGCCUGGCACCCGGCAUGCUACAGAGCCAGUGUUGCACCCACGGGUGCCAAGGAUGCCCCUCCACACCGGGCACCCCCAGGUCGCCAGGCCAUGUGCUGAGCCACCUCAGGACAGGCAACUGCCAGCCGAGACUGGGCCUCUUCCCCAUGCCAGACUGCAGGCUCCAGGGCAGGCAUGAACCCCCAGCAACACGGAGCCCUUGAACCCUGCCGAGCCUGGCUGCCAGGGUCCAGCAGAUCCAUCCCAGGAGACUUCGGAAGAACAAGACCUCAGGCCUGAGCCUGCUGUGGCCUUCAGGAGACACCAGAUCCGCAGCUCCCCGGGCAGCUCCGGCGGGGCCAGAUCUCCGCUCUCUCCUCAGUGUCCGGGGGACCAUGCUGCUGGCUGAUCUUCCUGCAGUCCCAGAGCCGGGCCAGAUUAAACCAUGGAGGAGCUGUGGAGACAACGCUGCGGUUUACAGUGACGGCUGGCGGGCGCUGCCCAGAAUAUUUUUCCAGUGAGGUGCUGAUGAGAAACGGCUCUGAGGACCAUAAAAUCGAUCUCGUGCAUUUGUCCCGACAGCUGCUUGUUCCAGGGAACUUUGCUUCAAAUUCAAAAUAAAGAGCCUCACUGGAUGUCAGCCUUGGGAGGAGGAGACCAGCCAGCGAGGCAGGCCCAGCCCAGGUCACCCGAACACUGUCCGGGCAGGUCCAGGGCACCUGCCUCCAGGUGUGCGACUUGUGACAAACACACUAGGCUGCCCACUGACGGGAGUGGGCCCUGCACCAGGCAGGUUCUCUGGGGAACAGAAUCAUGGAGAACGUGGUUUUGAUCAUGCACGGGGUUACUAGUCCGGCCCACGGUCUGGGCGGAGAGUCCACGGCCGUACAGCAAGGAGGGUCCAGGAGCUGCCCAGCCAGGAGCUGAAGCCACAGAACACAAGGGCCAGGACUGAAGCCCCAGCCCAACUGAGGCCCGAAGCCCCCUGGAGAGUAGCCGGGAAUCUGCUCCAGAAGCUGGAGGCCGCCCUCGGAAGGCCAUGGUGAAGACUGGUGCUCUCGCACCUAGCGAAUCUGGGCCACAGGCCUACUGGCUGGUGCCACCCACAUCGGCUGGGCCGCCCCUCUCGGUUGGCUGGCCCCCACGUCAGUCAUCCACAGACACACAG
rnacentral:lncRNA from 1 species